AUUGAACGCUGGCGGCGUGCUUAACACAUGCAAGUCGAUCGGUAACGCGGGGGCAACCCUGGCGACGAGAGGCGGACGGGUGAGGAACGCUUGGGAAUCUGCCUAUCAGCGGGGGACAACACGGGGAAACUCGUGCUAAUACCGCAUACGCUCUACGGAGGAAAGCCGGGGACCGCAAGGCCUGGCACUGAUAGAUGAGCCCAAGCCGGAUUAGCUAGUUGGCGGGGUAACGGCCCACCAAGGCGACGAUCCGUAGCUGGUCUGAGAGGACGAUCAGCCACACUGGAACUGAGACACGGUCCAGACUCCUACGGGAGGCAGCAGUGGGGAAUAUUGGACAAUGGGGGAAACCCUGAUCCAGCGACGCCGCGUGGGUGAAGAAGGCCUGCGGGUUGUAAAGCCCUUUCGGUAGGGACGAAAGCUCUCGACCUAACACGUCGGGAGGUUGACUUAACCUACAGUAGAAGCACCGGCUAACUCUGUGCCAGCCGCCGCCGUAA
rnacentral:rRNA from 1 species